UACAGGUAUUUCUAGCAACACAGUUGAUGGUACAAACCUCAGAAUCUAAAGUGUUGCGGAUUAGAGAUACAACAGCAAGACGAUCAGAUUCUACUGAAAAGGAAGAAGAAACAGGAAAGCGUAGAAAACUAUCAGCAGAAGUUACAGAGACAACAGGAAAGAAACGUCGGCAAAGGCUGGAUGAAUAAUUUCAUACAAUAUGCAUUCUGUGCUAGAACACUGCUGUAAUCUAUUGUGAUUACAUAUCUAUAUUUUCUACUUGACUUACUCAUUAUUAAAGUAUUGCGCAACAAUGUAUUCCA